rnacentral:rRNA from 1 species
UAAGACAGAGGUGCCAAGCGUUAGGCGGAAUCACUGGGCUUAAAGCGUGUGUAGGCGGAAUGGUAAGUACCUUGUGAAAUCCCACGGCUCAACCGUGGAACUGCUCGGUAUACUGCUUUUCUUGAGCCACUUAGGGGCUGUCGGAACAAACGGUGGAGCGGUGAAAUGCGUAGAUAUCGUUUGGAACGCCAAAGGUGAAAACAGACAGCUGGGAGUGUGCUGACGCUGAGACACGAAAGCCAGGGGAGCGAACGGGAUUAGAUACCCCGGUAGUCCUGGCCCUAAACGAUGUCGACUAGAUCGUAGUGCCUCUGACGGUAUUACGGUCGAAGCAAAAGUGCUAAGUCGACCGCCUGGGAAGUACGGUCGCAAGGCU